AAGAAAAAAAAAAGAGAGAGAGAUAUAUAUAUAUAUAUAAUAGAGAAAACACGAAUAAAAAACCGUUUCAAAAAAAUCUAGGCGCGCGUCUAAACAACGGAUGAUAAUAGUACGAGAAAAAGAAAGGAAACAAAAGAAAAAGAAAAAAGAAAGAAGAAAAAAGAAGGUAAAGAAGAAGAAGAAAAAGAAAAAAGAGGAAGGGAAAAAAAGAAACUAAUAACGAGAGAAAGAAGGGAAAAAAAACGAAACGAAUUAUAUUUGAAUGUACGUUCGCAAGAUGGCGACGGAUAGUGCGAAAGUAAGAGCUAACCAAAACGACGGAAUAAAUCGAAAACAUUGGCGCUACGAUCGUACGGCGUGGGUAAAGACGGGCGGAAGAUGCGCGUAGGAACAUUGCGCAGGCUCUUGUUUUGCUCGACGGUAUAACGGCGAGGGACAUAGAGGAGAGUUCGUUAUUGGUGGAGUUAAGCGAAGUGGGGCGAGAGGAGUGGAGAGGGGAUAGCGAGGCACGCUCUCACGGGGCAUGGCGUGGUGUGCGUUCUAGUAAACAACUUGUGCGCGACUCGCGCGGAUAGAAUCCGUUUGGUCUCGGCGAAUUUUUCCUAUUUUCCUUUCUUAUUUAUAUAUAUAUAUAUACACAUACAUAUAUAUAUGUGUGCAUGCAUACGUACGUGUAUGGAUACAAACAGAUACAUUAAUAAGAUAGCACGCGCACAGAGAAAGAGAAAGAGAGAGAGAGAGAGGGACAUAAACAGAUUAAUAAAAAAUAUAAAAGUGUUAUGUAUAUAAAUUGGUCCAUCGAGGAGCACGAAAUGCCGAGAAAAGAUCCUACGCGUCUGUGAGUCCUUCGCGCGCGCGUGUGUGUGUGUGUGUUUUGUGCGUUACUUUAUUAAACGAAUUAAAGAAAUAAAUAAAUACAUAGGAAUAUUUUACAUACAUAUAUCUACAUACGCAUACGUACGUACAUAUAUAACUACGACGACGAUAUUCGAAUGGAAUAACUUUCGGUGAGUGCGUGCGUGCGUGCGUUACUCUCGAUAAAGUGUGUGUUGGUGUAUUAGUGGCGUGUAUAUAUCUCUCUCUGUCGGAGCUACUCUCCUACGCUAUUUCCGCCUAUUUUUUUUUCUUCUAUCUAUCCCUCUCAUUCUCUUUCUCUUUCUCUCUCUCUCUCUCUCUCUCUCUUUCUUUCUUUCUCUCUCGCUGCGUAUUCUCUAUCUAUCUAUCUCUAGACGAUACAAAACGUUCUAACCAACGACCUCGUUUUUCGGUGUGUUCUCUCUCUCUCUCUCUAUCUAUCUAUCUAUCUAUCUAUCUACUCCGUACAUUUAUAUUGCGUAGUGUGUCUGUGUGGUACGUGUACGUGCGUUGUUUGUGAGAAAAAGAACGAGAGAGAGAAAAAAGAAAGAAGGAAAGAAAGAAGGAAGGAAGGAAGGAAGGAAAGAAGAAAGAAAGAAAGAAAGAAAAAGUAGACAAAUAUAUAGAUAGAAAGAGGAAACAGAGAGAGAAAGAAGAGUAUCAGAGAAGUGGACAUCGUGGAUGGAAAUAGAGCGUCUUCAAGGGAUUUUCAAUCGUGGAUGAUGGUACGCCGCACCAUUUCAUCGUCGUCAACAACGUUGUCGUCGUCGUCGUUAACGUCGUCAACAUCGUCAACGUCGUAGUCGGCUUAGACGUCGUAACACGCCGUCUCGAAAAUAACCUCGUCGAGGAGGCAAAAAAAGGGAAAA